GUGUGUGUGGGGGAAAGAUGCAAAAACACCACCAAAAAAUGAAAAAUCACAGUUUGUUAGUAAUAAUAUAAUAUGUGGGAUAUAAUGGAGUACCACGUUGCUGUAUAACUGAUUUUACAUUUCUGUCCUUUCAGAACUUUCAAAAGAUUGUGGAAAUUGGGCACCAGCAUCAUUUUCAUCUAGCCAUUAGGUGAAAUAUCAAACCUCCUUACCUGUCCCUGGAAAUAGAUUCUUCGCUCCCACACUAAACUUCUGCAGGAAAAGUAUUAUUGUCCAAGUCAUGAUAACUCAGAAUAAGUGCGUAAGGACAGUCUAAAUCAACUUCCAUUCGCCUGCCGUUCAGCGCUUUGGGACUCUUCGUCAGCAAGCUCCUUCUGACAGCUAUUUAUAGCUCAACAUUUCAGCAAGAUAAUUGCAGGAAGAAGAAGGAAAACCGAGAAAAAUGGAAUUUGUA
rnacentral:lncRNA from 1 species